rfam:Erinaceus europaeus unplaced genomic scaffold scaffold00130, whole genome shotgun sequence
GUGUCUAUUUUAGUAGCACUUACACUAAAAUUAGAACAGCACAGAGAAGCUUGGUGUGGUCCCUGCACAAGGAUGACACAAAUCUGUGAAGUACCCCAUAUCUUU